GUUAGCGGCGGACGGGUGAGUAACACGUGGGCAACCUGCCUAUAAGACUGGGAUAACUUCGGGAAACCGGAGCUAAUACCGGAUAAUUCUUUUCUACACAUGUAGAAAAGCUAAAAGACGGUUUACGCUGUCACUUAUAGAUGGGCCCGCGGCGCAUUAGCUAGUUGGUGAGGUAACGGCUCACCAAGGCCAGGAUGAGUAGCCGACCUGAGAGGGUGAUCGGCCACACUGGGACUGAUAUCACGGCCCAGACGACUACGGGAGGCAGCAGUCCAUCUUGCUAUNAACUCGAGCCUCCGGAAGAUACUGGG
rnacentral:sRNA from 1 species